UCUCCGUUGGUGAACCAGCGGAGGGAUCAUUACCGAGUUAUACAACUCCCAAACCCGUGUGAACUUAUACCAUACCGUUGCUUCGGCGGGCUUCGACGCCCGGGACCGCACCCGCACUCCAGGCCUCGCCGGACGCGGCAGGCCCCGGGCGCGCGCCCGCCGGAGGACCCAAACUCUUCUGUAUCUACGCUACGCAUGUCUGAGUGGAUUUAAUAUCAAUGAAUCAAAACUUUCAACAACGGAUCUCUUGGUUCUGGCAUCGAUGAAGAACGCAGCGAAAUGCGAUAAGUAAUGUGAAUUGCAGAAUUCAGUGAACCAUCGAAUCUUUGAACGCACAUUGCGCCCGCCAGUAUUCUGGCGGGCAUGCCUGUUCGAGCGUCAUUUCAACCCUCAAGCGCUGCUUGGUGUUGGGGACCGGCCUGAAGGAGCCGCCCCCGAAAUGAAUUGGCGGUCUCGUCGCAGCGUCCUCUGCGUAGUAACAUACCACCUCGCAGCAAGGAGCGCGGCGCGGCCACUGCCGUAAAAAUCGCCAGUGAUGGCUUCUAGAGUUGACCUCGAAUCAGGUAGGAAUACCCGCUGAACUUAA
rnacentral:rRNA from 1 species